CAAUUUAAACAACGAAGAGUUUGAUCCUGGCUCAGGAUGAACGCUAGCGACAGGCUUAACACAUGCAAGUCGAGGGGCAGCGGGGGUAGCAAUACCCGCCGGCGACCGGCGCACGGGUGAGUAACGCGUAUGCAACUUACCUAUCAGAGGGGGAUAACCCGGCGAAAGUCGGACUAAUACCGCAUGAAGCAGGGGCCCCGCAUGGGGAUAUUUGCUAAAGAUUCAUCGCUGAUAGAUAGGCAUGCGUUCCAUUAGGCAGUUGGCGGGGUAACGGCCCACCAAACCGACGAUGGAUAGGGGUUCUGAGAGGAAGGUCCCCCACAUUGGUACUGAGACACGGACCAAACUCCUACGGGAGGCAGCAGUGAGGAAUAUUGGUCAAUGGCCGAGAGGCUGAACCAGCCAAGUCGCGUGAGGGAUGAAGGUUCUAUGGAUCGUAAACCUCUUUUAUAAGGGAAUAAAGUGCGGGACGUGUCCCGUUUUGUAUGUACCUUAUGAAUAAGGAUCGGCUAACUCCGUGCCAGCAGCCGCGGUAAUACGGAGGAUCCGAGCGUUAUCCGGAUUUAUUGGGUUUAAAGGGUGCGUAGGCGGCCUUUUAAGUCAGCGGUGAAAGUCUGUGGCUCAACCAUAGAAUUGCCGUUGAAACUGGGGGGCUUGAGUAUGUUUGAGGCAGGCGGAAUGCGUGGUGUAGCGGUGAAAUGCAUAGAUAUCACGCAGAACCCCGAUUGCGAAGGCAGCCUGCCAAGCCAUUACUGACGCUGAUGCACGAAAGCGUGGGGAUCAAACAGGAUUAGAUACCCUGGUAGUCCACGCAGUAAACGAUGAUCACUAGCUGUUUGCGAUACACUGUAAGCGGCACAGCGAAAGCGUUAAGUGAUCCACCUGGGGAGUACGCCGGCAACGGUGAAACUCAAAGGAAUUGACGGGGGCCCGCACAAGCGGAGGAACAUGUGGUUUAAUUCGAUGAUACGCGAGGAACCUUACCCGGGUUUGAACGCAUUCGGACCGAGGUGGAAACACCUUUUCUAGCAAUAGCCGUUUGCGAGGUGCUGCAUGGUUGUCGUCAGCUCGUGCCGUGAGGUGUCGGCUUAAGUGCCAUAACGAGCGCAACCCUUGCCACUAGUUACUAACAGGUAAAGCUGAGGACUCUGGUGGGACUGCCAGCGUAAGCUGCGAGGAAGGCGGGGAUGACGUCAAAUCAGCACGGCCCUUACAUCCGGGGCGACACACGUGUUACAAUGGCGUGGACAAAGGGAGGCCACCUGGCGACAGGGAGCGAAUCCCCAAACCACGUCUCAGUUCGGAUCGGAGUCUGCAACCCGACUCCGUGAAGCUGGAUUCGCUAGUAAUCGCGCAUCAGCCAUGGCGCGGUGAAUACGUUCCCGGGCCUUGUACACACCGCCCGUCAAGCCAUGGGAGCCGGGGGUACCUGAAGUCCGUAACCGAAAGGAUCGGCCUAGGGUAAAACUGGUGACUGGGGCUAAGUCGUAACAAGGUAGCCGUACCGGAAGGUGCGGCUGGAACACCUCCUUUCUGGAGC
rnacentral:rRNA from 1 species